rnacentral:rRNA from 1 species
AUGAACGCUAGCUACAGGCCUAACACAUGCAAGUCGAGGGGAAACGGCAGCUUAGCUUGCUAAGCUGGACGUCGACCGGCGCACGGGUGAGUAACGCGUAUCCAACCUGCCCCACGGUGAGGGAUAACCCGCGGAAACGCGGCCUAAUACCUCAUGGUCUCCGAGUUUGCCAUCAACCUUGGAGUAAAGAUUCAUUGCCGUGGGAUGGGGAUGCGUCUGAUUAGCUUGUUGGCGGGGCAACGGCCCACCAAGGCAACGAUCAGUAGGGGUUCUGAGAGGAAAGCCCCCCACAUUGGAACUGAGACACGGUCCAAACUCCUACGGGAGGCAGCAGUGAGGAAUAUUGGUCAAUGGGCGAGAGCCUGAACCAGCCAAGUAGCGUGCAGGAUGACGGCCCUAUGGGUUGUAAACUGCUUUUAUGCGGGGAUAAAGCGGGCGACGUGUCGCCCUUUGCAGGUACCGCAUGAAUAAGGACCGGCUAAUUCCGUGCCAGCAGCCGCGGUAAUACGGAAGGUCCGGGCGUUAUCCGGAUUUAUUGGGUUUAAAGGGAGCGUAGGCCGGGUAUUAAGCGUGUUGUGAAAUGUAGGCGCCCAACGUCUGCACCGCAGCGCGAACUGGUGCCCUUGAGUACGCACGACGUUGGCGGAAUUCGCCGUGUAGCGGUGAAAUGCUUAGAUAUGGCGAAGAACUCCGAUUGCGAAGGCAGCUGACGGGAGCGCUACUGACGCUCAUGCUCGAAAGCGCGGGUAUCGAACAGGAUUAGAUACCCUGGUAGUCCGCGCGGUAAACGAUGGAUGCCCGCUAUUUGCGCAUUAGCGCAAGUGGCCAAGUGAAAACGUUAAGCAUCCCACCUGGGGAGUACGCCGGCAACGGUGAAACUCAAAGGAAUUGACGGGGGCCCGCACAAGCGGAGGAACAUGUGGUUUAAUUCGAUGAUACGCGAGGAACCUUACCCGGGCUUGAAUUGCAACUGAAUGAUGUGGAGACAUGUCAGCCGCAAGGCAGUUGUGAAGGUGCUGCAUGGUUGUCGUCAGCUCGUGCCGUGAGGUGUCGGCUUAAGUGCCAUAACGAGCGCAACCCCUCUCCAUAGUUGCCAUCAGGUAAUGCUGGGCACUCUGUGGACACUGCCACCGUAAGGUGCGAGGAAGGUGGGGAUGACGUCAAAUCAGCACGGCCCUUACGUCCGGGGCUACACACGUGUUACAAUGGGGGGUACAGAGAGUCGGGACAACGCGAGUUGCCCCCAAUCAUCAAAGCCCCCCUCAGUUCGGACUGGGGUCUGCAACCCGACCCCACGAAGCUGGAUUCGCUAGUAAUCGCGCAUCAGCCAUGGCGCGGUGAAUACGUUCCCGGGCCUUGUACACACCGCCCGUCAAGCCAUGAAAGCCGGGGGCGCCUGAAGUCCGUGACCGCGAGGAUCGGCCUAGGGCGAAACUGGUAAUUGGGGCU